rnacentral:rRNA from 1 species
UACAGAGGUUGCAAGCGUUGUUCGGAAUCACUGGGCGUAAAGCGCGUGUAGGCGGUCUGCUAAGUCUGAUGUGAAAGCCCGGGGCUCACCCCCGGAAGUGCAUUGGAAACUGGCAGACUGGAGUCCCGGAGAGGAGGGUGGAAUUCCUGGUGUAGCGGUGAAAUGCGUAGAUAUCAGGAGGAACACCGGUGGCGAAGGCGGCCCUCUGGACGGUGACUGACGCUGAGACGCGAAAGCGUGGGGAGCAAACAGG